AGAACGAACGCUGGCGGCAGGCUUAACACAUGCAAGUCGCACGGUCGGGGCAACCCGGCAGUGGCGGACGGGUGAGUAACGCGUAGGUAUCUAUCCUUGGGUGGGGGACAACUGUGGGAAACUACAGCUAAUACCGCAUGAUGACUGAGGUCCAAAGGCGCAAGUCGCCUGGGGAGGAGCCUGCGUACGAUUAGCUAGUUGGUGGGGUAAAGGCCUACCAAGGCGACGAUCGUUAGCUGGUCUGAGAGGAUGAUCAGCCACAUUGGGACUGAGACACGGCCCAAACUCCUACGGGAGGCAGCAGUGGGGAAUAUUGGACAAUGGGCGCAAGCCUGAUCCAGCAAUGCCGCGUGUGUGAAGAAGGUCUUCGGAUUGUAAAGCACUUUCGACGGGGACGAUGAUGACGGUACCCGUAGAAGAAGCCCCGGCUAACUUCGCGCCAGCAGCCGC
rnacentral:rRNA from 1 species